UUUUGAGAGCAGUCAGAGGGAAAUUAUACAUGACCUGAAAGGGACAAUAAUUCAAAUGGUAGCAGAUUUCUCUUUAGAAACUACAGAGUCAAAAAGUAGCAGCCAUUUUUCAAGUGCUAACAGAAAAGAACUUCAACCCGGAAUUUUCUAUUUUCUGUGAAAACAUCCUUCCAGAAUGAAGGUGAGAGGAAAAAAACAAAACCAAAACAAGGUGAAUAAGGGUGGGAAAAAAGUCUCAAUGAAGGAAAACUAAGAAAAGUUGUUGCCCGUGGCUUUGCACUAAAAGAACAGCACAAUGAUGUUAUUCAGACUGAAAAGAAAUAACAGUAGGACACAUGAAAAAUGGGGAAUGACUAAAGAGCAACAGAAAGGGUAAAUACACAAG